GAGUUUGAUCCUGGCUCAGGAUGAACGCUAGCGGCAGGCCUAACACAUGCAAGUCGAACGGUAACAGGAAUUAGCUUGCUAAUUUGCUGACGAGUGGCGCACGGGUGCGUAACGCGUAUACAAUCUACCUUUUGCUGAGGGAUAGCCCAGAGAAAUUUGGAUUAAUACCUCAUGGUAUUAUUGAUAGGCAUCUAUUAAUAAUUAAAGGUUACGGCAAAAGAUGAGUAUGCGUCCCAUUAGCUAGUUGGCGAGGUAACGGCUCACCAAGGCAACGAUGGGUAGGGGUCCUGAGAGGGAGAUCCCCCACACUGGUACUGAGACACGGACCAGACUCCUACGGGAGGCAGCAGUGAGGAAUAUUGGACAAUGGGCGAGAGCCUGAUCCAGCCAUGCCGCGUGCAGGAAGACUGCCCUAUGGGUUGUAAACUGCUUUUAUACAGGAAGAAUAAGCCUUACGUGUAAGGUGAUGACGGUACUGUAAGAAUAAGGACCGGCUAACUCCGUGCCAGCAGCCGCGGUAAUACGGAGGGUCCGAGCGUUAUCCGGAAUUAUUGGGUUUAAAGGGUCCGUAGGCGGAUGAUUAAGUCAGGGGUGAAAGUUUGCAGCUCAACUGUAAAAUUGCCUUUGAUACUGGUCAUCUUGAGUUGUAUUGAAGUAGGCGGAAUAUGUAGUGUAGCGGUGAAAUGCAUAGAUAUUACAUAGAACACCAAUUGCGAAGCAGCUUUACUAAGUACUAACUGACGCUGAUGGACGAAAGGCGAR
rnacentral:rRNA from 1 species